rnacentral:lncRNA from 1 species
UAUGGUAGAAUAUUUUUUAUUAAACAUUUUAUAUUGAUUUUUCGACUGAAAAUCUGUUUUUCUUUUUUUAAUUUAGUCUUCUCAUCAUCAUUGCUGAACGUUUUAAUGAGUAAUUAUAACCUCUCCAUGCGUGCCAGUUGAUUCCAUCAGCAUUAGAAGAAUGUUUACCGGAAAGGUAAAGUCCAUUCAGAUUAGCACUAUGACAAGCGCCAUACCACCACCCUCCUUUGUAUUUUGUUGCGCAAUUGUCAGAAGAAACAUCAUUAUCCUGGUCUUUUGUAGAGAAUUUUUUGUCAUGAUGAUGAGGGGACAGAGAAUUUCCUGUAAACCAAAAGACAAGAACUAUUUGACGAUAUUGCAAAAAAAAGAAUAAGUUAAACUAUCGGUUUGUAUUAGUGUUCGUGUAAACAACGCAAGACAUGUAUCAUGUAUAUGUGCUUUUGGAUUCAGUACAACCCUACGAGGUUUAUUUAAUUUAUAAAUCCAAGUUCAGUAAAUACGUCUUGCAGAUUUUUUUCACCCAAAGUUAUCAAAUUAAAAC